rnacentral:rRNA from 2 species
AUAGAGUCAAGUGAAUAAGUGCAUCAGGCGGAUGCCUUGGCGAUGAUAGGCGACGAAGGACGUGUAAGCCUGCGAAAAGCGCGGGGGAGCUGGCAAUAAAGCUAUGAUUCCGCGAUGUCCGAAUGGGGAAACCCACUGCAUUCUGUGCAGUAUCCUAAGUUGAAUACAUAGGCUUAGAGAAGCGAACCCGGAGAACUGAACCAUCUAAGUACCCGGAGGAAAAGAAAUCAACCGAGAUUCCGCAAGUAGUGGCGAGCGAACGCGGAGGAGCCUGUACGUAAUAACUGUCGAGAUAGAAGAACAAGCUGGGAAGCUUGACCAUAGCGGGUGACAGUCCCGUAUUCGAAAUCUCAACAGCGGUACUAAGCGUACGAAAAGUAGGGCGGGACACGUGAAAUCCUGUCUGAAUAUGGGGGGACCAUCCUCCAAGGCUAAAUACUCAUCAUCGACCGAUAGUGAACCAGUACCGUGAGGGAAAGGCGAAAAGAACCCCGGGAGGGGAGUGAAACAGAACCUGAAACCUGAUGCAUACAAACAGUGGGAGCGCCCUAGUGGUGUGACUGCGUACCUUUUGUAUAAUGGGUCAACGACUUACAUUCAGUAGCGAGCUUAACCGGAUAGGGGAGGCGUAGGGAAACCGAGUCUUAAUAGGGCGAUGAGUUGCUGGGUGUAGACCCGAAACCGAGUGAUCUAUCCAUGGCCAGGUUGAAGGUGCCGUAACAGGUACUGGAGGACCGAACCCACGCAUGUUGCAAAAUGCGGGGAUGAGCUGUGGGUAGGGGUGAAAGGCUAAACAAACUCGGAGAUAGCUGGUUCUCCCCGAAAACUAUUUAGGUAGUGCCUCGAGCAAGACACUGAUGGGGGUAAAGCACUGUUAUGGCUAGGGGGUUAUUGCAACUUACCAACCCAUGGCAAACUCAGAAUACCAUCAAGUGGUUCCUCGGGAGACAGACAGCGGGUGCUAACGUCCGUUGUCAAGAGGGAAACAACCCAGACCGCCGGCUAAGGUCCCAAAUGAUAGAUUAAGUGGUAAACGAAGUGGGAAGGCACAGACAGCCAGGAUGUUGGCUUAGAAGCAGCCAUCAUUUAAAGAAAGCGUAAUAGCUCACUGGUCGAGUCGUCCUGCGCGGAAGAUGUAACGGGGCUCAAAUCUAUAACCGAAGCUGCGGAUGCCGGUUUACCGGCAUGGUAGGGGAGCGUUCUGUAGGCUGAUGAAGGUGCAUUGUAAAGUGUGCUGGAGGUAUCAGAAGUGCGAAUGUUGACAUGAGUAGCGAUAAAGCGGGUGAAAAGCCCGCUCGCCGAAAGCCCAAGGUUUCCUACGCAACGUUCAUCGGCGUAGGGUGAGUCGGCCCCUAAGGCGAGGCAGAAAUGCGUAGUCGAUGGGAAACAGGUUAAUAUUCCUGUACUUGAUUCAAAUGCGAUGUGGGGACGGAGAAGGUUAGGUUGGCAAGCUGUUGGAAUAGCUUGUUUAAGCCGGUAGGUGGAAGACUUAGGCAAAUCCGGGUUUUCUUAACACCGAGAAGUGAUGACGAGUGUCUACGGACACGAAGCAACCGAUACCACGCUUCCAGGAAAAGCCACUAAGCUUCAGUUUGAAUCGAACCGUACCGCAAACCGACACAGGUGGGCAGGAUGAGAAUUCUAAGGCGCUUGAGAGAACUCGGGAGAAGGAACUCGGCAAAUUGAUACCGUAACUUCGGGAGAAGGUAUGCCCUCUAAGGUUAAGGACUUGCUCCGUAAGCCCCGGAGGGUCGCAGAGAAUAGGUGGCUGCGACUGUUUAUUAAAAACACAGCACUCUGCCAACACGAAAGUGGACGUAUAGGGUGUGACGCCUGCCCGGUGCCGGAAGGUUAAUUGAAGAUGUGCAAGCAUCGGAUCGAAGCCCCGGUAAACGGCGGCCGUAACUAUAACGGUCCUAAGGUAGCGAAAUUCCUUGUCGGGUAAGUUCCGACCCGCACGAAUGGCGUAACGAUGGCCACACUGUCUCCUCCCGAGACUCAGCGAAGUUGAAGUGGUUGUGAAGAUGCAAUCUACCCGCUGCUAGACGGAAAGACCCCGUGAACCUUUACUGUAGCUUUGCAUUGGACUUUGAAGUCACUUGUGUAGGAUAGGUGGGAGGCUUGGAAGCAGAGACGCCAGUCUCUGUGGAGUCGUCCUUGAAAUACCACCCUGGUGUCUUUGAGGUUCUAACCCAGACCCGUCAUCCGGGUCGGGGACCGUGCAUGGUAGGCAGUUUGACUGGGGCGGUCUCCUCCCAAAGCGUAACGGAGGAGUUCGAAGGUUACCUAGGUCCGGUCGGAAAUCGGACUGAUAGUGCAAUGGCAAAAGGUAGCUUAACUGCGAGACCGACAAGUCGGGCAGGUGCGAAAGCAGGACAUAGUGAUCCGGUGGUUCUGUAUGGAAGGGCCAUCGCUCAACGGAUAAAAGGUACUCCGGGGAUAACAGGCUGAUUCCGCCCAAGAGUUCAUAUCGACGGCGGAGUUUGGCACCUCGAUGUCGGCUCAUCACAUCCUGGGGCUGUAGUCGGUCCCAAGGGUAUGGCUGUUCGCCAUUUAAAGUGGUACGUGAGCUGGGUUUAAAACGUCGUGAGACAGUUUGGUCCCUAUCUGCAGUGGGCGUUGGAAGUUUGACGGGGGCUGCUCCUAGUACGAGAGGACCGGAGUGGACGAACCUCUGGUGUACCGGUUGUAACGCCAGUUGCAUAGCCGGGUAGCUAAGUUCGGAAGAGAUAAGCGCUGAAAGCAUCUAAGCGCGAAACUCGCCUGAAGAUGAGACUUCCCUUGCGGUUUAACCGCACUAAAGGGUCGUUCGAGACCAGGACGUUGAUAGGUGGGGUGUGGAAGCGCGGUAACGCGUGAAGCUAACCCAUACUAAUUGCCCGUGAGGCUUGACUCUAU